rnacentral:piRNA from 2 species
UGACAGGGUCCUUCGUCACUCUCA